CCAGCGGCCGGUGUGUGCGGUGCUGCUCCCGGCGCGGUGACGGCUUCUGGAUGGAGUUUCAAUUAUUGUACGAGACCACAAUGUGCGGCAGUACGUGUGCCGCCGUUGGUACCGAUAUUAGAAACGUCCAUCUGCCGGUCAAAACUCAACUGCGGCAGACGUAAACUCCAGCUCUCUCAAGGUACGGCUGGCAGUUCGCGAGCUGGGGAUACUGCUCCAGUACACCGACCAAUGGACGUCACUUCAAUGGAUCACGUGACCUACUUGACCUGGUGGUGCUGAUUUCUGCUGGGGGCCGUCCGAGCGUCUGGUCCUUUCAUCCUGUUCGAAGGAGCCCCUCACAGACCAUAGCUCAUGUGCGGCAGUACGUGUACCGCUGUUGGUACCGAGAUAAACGUCCAUCUGCCGGUCAAAACUGGACUGCGGCAUAUGGAAACUCCAGCUCUCUCACAACUAGGUACGGCUGGCAGUUCGCGAGUUGGGGACACUGCUCCAGUACACCAACCAAUGGACGUCACUUCCAGGGAUCACGUGACCCACUUGACUCGGUGGCGCUGGUGUCCAGCUGACAACUGACCGUCCUCCGUGACCUGCCGCUGGAGCCGCUCGUAGGUCUUUUUCGACCGGCGCCGGUCUCCUCUGCAGUCCGGGCGACCACAGACACCAUCAGCACAGUGAAGAACAUCGCAGCAGCGGGUUGGAAUCGGAGGAGAGCCGGUGGUGUCGCGCAACAGUCACUGAAUGUGACUGAUGGUGUCCGAGGGGGUAAUCGGAGGAAUGCAGGUUUACCUGACUUCUCUCCUCAUUACCCCCUCCCAUACUUGGGUGGUAUGUUGGAGCCCAGACAUACCACCCAAGUACUUAUACUGGGUGGGGGAGGGUAACAGGGUGGUCCCUGGUGG